GGCCUAUCUAUUAAAUUUCGCGCAGAUUGUAGUGAAAAACCUAAAAACAUUAUUAUAGGAAUAACUUUACUAAACGGCUAAGUAAUAUGUAUAACAUUAAAAUCUAAUAUUAAGUUCUUCACAUAUUCUAAUAAAAUCUAUGUAUUUUUAACAUUUUUCAGAAUAAUGAAGUUAUCGCCAUCAUCUCGGAUGAUGAGGAAGAGACCACUCAGCGGCCGGCUGAAGGGUCGCUGGAUAAUCUCCAUGUGAAAAGGGAGUUAUUCCCCCGUUCUGAGGAAAAUACAGAGAGGCGGCAGGCAAUGCCCCAAGCACCAAGACCUUCCCUUGAAGAUAAUAAUGAAGACAUCAUCAUCAUCUCAGAUGACGAGGAAGAGACCUUACAGCCGCCUCCCUCCCCCCACCCCCACCCCAGACCUUCCCCUGAAGAUAUUGAAUAGCAUCCUGGAGUGUUGAGGGUGGUUCAAGUGACAAGAUGUUUAAAUAUGGUUGAUGAAAACCUGCGCUUAAUAAGUGAGCAGGUAAAGGAAAUUAAAAAGGACAUUCGGAAAAUUAUAAAUGAUUUUUAAAUGUAUAAAAAAUAAAUAAAUAAAUAAAUAAAUAAACAUAAAAAAAUACAAA
rnacentral:lncRNA from 1 species